UACGUAGGGGGCAAGCGUUGUCCGGAAUUAUUGGGCGUAAAGAGCGCGUAGGCGGUCCGAUAAGUCGGCUGUGAAAGUCAGGGGCUCAACCCUUGAAAGCCGGCCGAUACUGUCGGACUAGAGUCCGGAAGAGGCAAGUGGAAUUCCCGGUGUAGCGGUGAAAUGCGCAGAUAUCGGGAGGAACACCAAUGGCGAAGGCAGCUUGCUGGGACGGUACUGACGCUGAGGAGCGAAAGCGUAGGGAGCAAACAGG
rnacentral:rRNA from 1 species